UCCUGGGGCUGAAGCAGGUCCCAAGGGUAUGGCUGUUCGCCAUUUAAAGAGGUACGCGAGCUGGGUUUAGAACGUCGUGAGACAGUUCGGUCCCUAUCUACCGUGGGCGUUGGAAAUUUGAGAGGAUCUGCUCCUAGUACGAGAGGACCAGAGUGGACGAACCUCUGGUGUUUCGGUUGUGACGCCAGUCGCAUUGCCGAGUAGCUAUGUUCGGAUGGGAUAACCGCUGAAAGCAUCUAAGCGGGAAGCCCACCUUAAGAUUAGAUUUCCCUAAAGAGCCGUUGUAGACUACGACGUUGAUAGGUUGGGUGUGGAAGCACAGCGAUGUGUGUAGCUAACCAAUACUAAUUGCUCGUUUGGCUUGACUAUACAACGC
rnacentral:rRNA from 1 species